UUAAGUUCAGCGGGUAUCCCUACCUGAUCCGAGGUCAAGCGUAAAAGUAUAGGCUUUGUGGACGCCACCGUACACAGCGGAGAGCGCAAAAUGUGCUGCACUCCCACACAGGACGGCUGGCUGCCAAUGUAUUUAAGGCGAGUUCACGCGCGCAGCGGAACAAACACCCAACACCCAGCAAGGCUGGAGGGUACAAAUGA
rnacentral:misc_RNA from 1 species